AGCACCUAAAAGCGUUUUCUUGAUAGCUUUUUAAAUGCUCCUGAAAAUCGUUGAUGUGUGCCAGAGCAAUUGCCGCGGUUGCAAGUGAUUUGAUGCCAAUUAAUGCGUUAACUCCAAUAACACCACGCACAUCG